rnacentral:rRNA from 1 species
AUGGCCUCGCCGGCGAGCGGCGAUUCCGAUCAGGUACUGGUGGAAGCAAAUGGCUCUACACGGACAUUGGUUUUGAAUAGGCCAAAGCAGUUAAAUGCUCUCUCCUCUGCAAUGGUUACAGGACUUCUGAAAUGUUUCACUUCUUAUGAGGAAGAAAACACAGUUAAACUGUUGAUUGUCAAGGGAAAAGGAAGGGCAUUUUGUGCUGGAGGUGAUGUUGCUGAAGUUGCCCAAUCUAUAAAUAAUGAUACCUGGAAAUAUGGUGCUGAUUUUUUCCAUACUGAAUUUUUGUUAAACUAUAUCAUUGCAACUUAUAGCAAACCACAGGUUUCUCUACUUACUGGAAUUGUCAUGGGUGGAGGUGCUGGUGUUUCUAUACAUGGAAGGUUUCGGGUUGCCACAGAGAACACGGUUUUUGCAAUGCCAGAAACAGCACUGGGACUCUUUCCAGAUAUAGGGGCUUCUUAUUUUCUUUCUAGACUACCUGGGUUCUAUGGAGAGUAUGUUGGCCUUACUGGUGCAAGGUUGGAUGGUGCAGAAAUGCUUGCAUGUGGCCUGGCAACUCAUUUUGUCCCUUUGAACAGGAUGUCACUGCUUGAAGAAUCACUUAAAAAGGUGGACACUUCUGAUCCAUUUGCUAUAUGUGGAAUUAUUGAUCAAUUUUCACAACAGCCAUCUGUGAAAGGAAGUAGUGCUAUGAAUAGGAUGGAAAUCAUCAACAGAUGCUUCUCCAAAAGAACAGUCGAAGAAAUCAUAUCCGCUCUUGAACAAGAAGCUCCAAGUAUGGCCGAUAAAUUGGUUACUGCUGCAAUCCACUCAUUGCGGAAGGCUUCUCCUACUAGUCUGAAAAUCUCUCUCGCAUCGAUAAGAGAAGGGAGGCUGCAAACUGUUGGUGAGUGCUUGCGCCGAGAAUAUAGAAUGGUUUGCCAUGUGAUGCGCGGUGACUUCAGCAGAGACUUCUUUGAGGGAUGCAGGGCGAUACUUGUAGAUAAAGAUCGAAACCCAAAGUGGAUGCCGCCAACUCUGGAUAAAGUGCAUGACGGGGUAGUUGCAAAAUAUUUCUCCAAGGUCGACGAUCCACAGUGGGAAGAUUUGAACCUGCCAACUAGACCUUCCCAUGGAAGAAGAAUUGUUCCCAAGCUCUGA